CACCUCCGUGAGUCAGGAAUAGACCAGAAAGAAGGAGCUAACAUCCACUAAACAUGAAGGCAGUGCUUUGAACCGUCUCAGUUUGAAGAAGAUCAAAUGGAAAGUUUGACUUUUUCUUUUUGAUUUUACUGCUGCUUUGGAGUUUUCUCAGAGGGACAUAGAGGAACAGAAUAGAGCACCAAGAAGACUAUAGACUAAACUGCCUGCCUGUUGCUAAGCUGCUUUCCCUCUUAUGAAGUGUGUCAUUUACCCAGUCUGAAGUUAAUCAGCACUAUUUUAAUGCAUAUUAUACAUUAUUUAAAGCUGGGCUUCUUCUUGCUCUUGGAGUUCAUAAAGAAUGGACUCCAAAGAUGUCUUUCACAAAUUGUUGCAUCCACUCGUAGCACAAGUGCAGAACACACGGCCUCAGAGGGAUGGAAAACUGCUGAGUCACUGCGCACGUACCAGCUUACAGAUGGAGACGUAGCCAUGGUUACCAUCCAAACCAGCUCACAUGACUUCUAUGUGGAGUUCCAAAGACUUUUGCAGUGCAGCGAGUACUUUCGAGCGCUGUCCCAGUCCAGGAUGAGGGAGGCCUCUGAGAGCCUGAUCCACCUGGAACACGUGCCAUCUCACAUAUUCUACAAUCUGCUGGAGUUCUCCUUUAAUCACAGUUUUAAUGUCCCUGCAGAAGAGUUAGGAACACACAUCCAGGUGAGCAGCUAUCUCCUGGCUGAGGCCUUCCUCUCUGAGUGUCUGUCAGCUCUGUCAGAUCAUCUCAGUCCAUCAAACUGUCUCUCAUAUCUAAACUUUGCCAAAGACAUCGUCUGUUUGGAGAUGAAGUCCACUGUUCUGACCUACGUGAGUAGAAACCUGCUGGAGCUGCCCGAUGUGUUCAGAUGUUUGAGUGAUGACGAAAAAGACGACGCGGUCAGACUGAGGACUGGAGGCGAGCGAUGCGUCUGUAGUGUGAGGAAGGAGAACCUGAGCACCUGGACGGACCCAGAAACCCAUCAAGCCCGGUUCCUGUUCGCCCUGCAGGGGUCAAAGGGCGACGACAGCUGGUGUCCAAUCACGGAGCUCCCUUUCAGCUCUGAUAAGUGGUGCUUUACGGUGGUGGUGCUUUUUAACUACCUGUACAUCAUAGGAGGCUACAGGCAGCGCAGGAAGAGAGGCUGGGAGUUCACCAUGGCUUCAUUCAGGUUUAACCCCUUCACUCACACCUGGGCCACUACGUCACCUCUCAUAAAGGAGACACUUCAGUGCGGUGGCCUGCGAUGGUGGUAUCUAUGCAGUGGGAGGCUGGUAUCUGGACUCUCUGGUUUCUCCAGACUCCUGCACGGCUAUGUACACGGCUGUAGAGCGCUAUGACCCAUGGACCGACUCCUGGAGGUUUGUGUCCUCUCUGCCCCUCACUGACUUCCAGUUCACCUUGUCCUUGUCCCAUGACGUUCCUCUCUGCACCAGCCUUGGACAACACGUCUACGUGUUGGGAAACAUCCAGAGGACUGGGGAAGUGUUGUUACUGCAGUACAACACUAAGCUGGGUGCAGAAAUACAGCAGAGCAUAAUACACACACACACACACACGCACAACCACACACACACACACACACACACACAUCGUAAAACACCAGUGACUCCCAACAUGAACAUACUAUAGGCCAGAGAUGGACAACUUUUAUUAAGGAGUCGUGUUCAAGGGUCACAUUAUCAACAUUCAUGUUAGCGUUGUGAGUAAUGAUCAAUUCUGAGCAUUAAUGCAGGAAAGAACCUAUAUACAGUGUAUAAAUUCAUUGUCAAUUCUUGUGUGGGGGGGGGUUCAGUUAUUUGGUGUAUUUUUCUUUCAUUUUAUGUAUAUUUGUGAUUGUUUUUUCUCUCUUAUUUCAUGUGUUUUUUGUGGAUUUGUGUGGUCAUUUUGCAGAUUUUUUUGUCAUUGUGUUUAUUUUUCUCUAACUUUCUGUAUUAUUAUUGUCAUUUAUUCAUUUUGUAUAUUUUUCUAUCAUUUCUUGUUAUGUUUAUUCAUUUUGUGUAUUUUUCUCUCAAUUUAGGUAUUUUUGUGGUAAUUUUGUAUAUCUAUUAUUUUGUGGCUUUUUUCAAGUAAUUUUGUGGUUUUUUCUCUCAUUUUCUGUUUUCUUUAGGUCAUUUUUCUAUAAUUUUGUGUGUGUGUGUUUUUUUUUUAGUCCUUUAGUGUAUUUGUGUAGUUUUGCUGUUGUAUUUUAUGGUCAUUUGUGUACUUCUACGUGAGCUUUUGGGGUCAUCUUGUGUGCUUAUGGGGGUCAUACAAAAUGAAGACAGAGGGUUGCAUGUGGCCGCUCAUGGUAUGAGCAGUUUUUCAGGGUAAAGAGCAUAAAAAGCUUGUGCUCAGAUUAUUUAUUCAGAUCAAUGUAGACGUUCUUUUCUGUCGUCUCAGAUGUGUGGAGUGAACUUCGUCCGACUCUCACCAGAGCCGAUGCAAACAUCCCUGCUCUCUAUUUUUUGGGGGCCACUGACAGAUUGUUUGUGAUUGGUGGGAAUAACUCUGAGAAUGUGGUGACAUCAUACAGUUUGAAGACACAGAUGUGGGGACAGGUGAAGUGAAGUCGAGCAACUUUCAUAAUAACAUAAAUGAUCAUUUUUCAUGAUAUUAUUGAUGAUUCACAUUAGACAUCUCCUGCUAUAUGUUUUUCCUUCAGGUGUGUGGAGUUGACAAAGUGGCGUUAGCAGGACAGGGGACGGUGGGAGACGACCACAUCCUGAUACCAAGUAUAGAACAUAACGCCGUAGUAAGGAUGGAUCUACAAACUCUGUCCCUCACUGCUCUUCCUCCUCUUCCUGUCUCCACUCGCUAUGAGGCAGCCUUUUAUCUACAUUUCUAAUGAUGACGUUUCAAACUUGUUUUAAUGUUUGAAAUCAAACAAAUACUACUUAAUAAAGCACCAAAAAAAAAAAACGUUCA
rnacentral:lncRNA from 1 species